CUCCCAGCUUGCCCUUUUACAAAGAUGCAGUGGGUUUGAAGCAGCUGCUCCUGACAGCGGUGUGUUCUGGGAGGCCUGGCUUUCUCUGGAUUUCUGUGCCACUCAGAUUUCUUUUUCUAACCCGUGGCUAACAGAUGCUGCCAGCACAUCGAUUUUGGCAAAAAGGUACAUCAGAACCGGAAGGACUCCAACAGACCUGAGACUGUCUGCAACCUGCUUCAUGAGUUAGUUCACCUGGGGAGUAGGGACUGACAGGCAAGUGACACUUGGCAUGUGCCCAGAGAUGAACAAGCCCCAUCGGUGGCUCCUGCAGCUUGACGUGACCAUCAACUCCCCAUGACAGAUCACAAGACCAAGGCUCACAUGAUGGCCAUCACUUGCUGAAGGACACAGCUUUAAAACAGGGGUGCUCCAUUGACUGCCCAUCUAUCAAAAAAUGGGACCUUGGCUUCUUCAGGCCACAGUUCAUUGGCUUCAAGCUCUCUGCAAAGAAGUGUUCUUCUCAGAGCCCCUGGCAUCCCCCACCCUCCUAAGGCAGACAAGGUUUGGGGAGCCCCACAGCAGGCCCCCUGUAGAACUGAUAUUGCUUAUUUAUUUAUAUGCUUAUUUCAAAGUAGGCUUUAAUGCAGCUGCCACACAAGGCAAAAAAAUGGGUAUUAAAUGAAAUACUACAUACAUCGGGUGCUCAAAGCAAUGCUUACCACAAAG
rnacentral:lncRNA from 1 species